UCGGCGGGUCCGCCCGCCGAUAGGACACUUCAAAACCUUUUGUAAUUGCAAUCAGCGUCAGAAAAACUAUAAUAGUUACAACUUUCAACAACGGAUCUCUUGGUUCUGGCAUCGAUGAAGAACGCAGCGAAAUGCGAAAAGUAGUGUGAAUUGCAGAAUUCAGUGAAUCAUCGAAUCUUUGAACGCACAUUGCGCCCCUUGGUAUUCCAUGGGGCAUGCCUGUUCGAGCGUCAUUUGUACCCUCAAGCUCUGCUUGGUGUUGGGUGUUUGUCCCGCCUUGCGCGUGGACUCGCCUUAAAGUCAUUGGCAGCCGGAAUAAUUCUGGGGAACGCAGCACAACUGCAGCCUCCACUUUACGCCGAGCGUCCAGUAAGCCCUUUUUUAACGUUUGACCUCGGAUCAGGUAGGGAUACCCGCUGAACUUAAGCAUAUCAAUAAGGCG
rnacentral:rRNA from 1 species